UAACUUCUAGGUCUGCAGACAAGAGGAAGAGAAGAUGAAGGAAGACUGUCUGCCGAGUUCUCACGUGCCCAUCAGUGACAGCAAGUCCAUUCAGAAGUCGGAGCUCUUAGGCCUGCUGAAAACCUACAACUGCUACCAUGAGGGCAAGAGCUUCCAGCUGAGACACCGUGAGAAGGGACUCUGAUCAUCGAGGGGCUCCUCAACAUUGCCUGGGGGCUGAGGCGGCCCAUCCGGCUGCAGAUGCAGGAUGACCGGGAGCAGGUGCACCUCCCCUCCACCUCAUGGAUGCCCGGAUGGCCCAGCUGCCCUCCACUGACUCUCUUGGUUUGAAAUCCAGGCCUCACCUCAGCCUGC
rnacentral:sRNA from 1 species